GGAAAGAGAGACAAAGAGGAGAGAGAGAAAUCGCCUUGGCAAGGCAAGAGCAAGAGAGGCCUCUCUCUGCUCGAUAGAUUUCAGUUCGAGACGUUCUCGAUCAAGCUUCACAGAAAUUGAGUGGAACUUUGAAGAAAAUGGGAAGUGCUGGUGGUGAAGAAGUUAUGAUUUCUGGGAGCAAUGAUGUUGAAAUAAAGAUAAAGACACUGGAUUCGCAAACAUACAUAUUGCGAGUAGAUAAAUGUGUGCCUGUACCUGCAUUAAAGGAGCAAAUUGCUUCUGUUACUGGUGUAUUGUGUGAACAACAGCGGCUUAUAUGCCGCGGUAAAGUUUUGAAGGAUGAUCAGCUCCUCUCAGCUUAUCAUGUGGAAGAUGGUCACACUCUGCAUAUGGUUGUUAGACAACCAAUUCCGCCAUCACUGGAGAGCUCUCCUGAUCAUCCUGUAACUGAUCCAGCAUCAAGUACUGGCCGUCAGGGCAAUCAAGCAGGUCCAAGCGUAGUUGUUGGAACCUUCAAUAUAUCUGAACAAGGUGAUGGAGUUCUUCCAGAUCUCAGUCGGAUUGUCUCAGCUGUUCUUGGUUCUUUUGGAAUCACAAAUAUUGGAAGUGGCAAUGAAGGGGCUGAUGUCAGGGAUGCUGCUCCAGAAAGGCUUUCAAGAACACCUGUUAGUGGCUUAAGAAAUUCUAGCGGGCAGCAAACUGACCAAGCUGCCUCAAGGGGUCAAUCUAAUCUUCACAAUGGUACUUCUCUAUUUCCAACUUCUAUUCCUUUGGAAGCUCUGCGUCCAUCUGUGAUUCCUGAUUCUUUGACGACUUUGUCGCAGUAUUUGAUGCGUAUGAGGCAUGAAUUUAGUGGAAAUGUCAGAAGCCAGAGUAAUAAUUCUCAAGCUGCUGGCACUCUUGGGAGUGACGGACAGGAGUCUGAAGCUGCCACACGUUCAGCUGCUGGAGAGGCAGGGCUCCCAACACCAGCAUCCUUGGCAGAAGUGAUGCUGUCUACAAGGCAAAUACUAACUGACCAAGCAGCAGAUUGCCUGUCUCAACUUGCAAGACAACUACAGGAUCAAGCAAAUUUGACUGAUCCUUUGGCAAGGAUGGGUGUUCAAUCCAAUGCUUCGAGAUCUGGAGCUCUUUUGCAAAACUUAGGUACUCUGCUGCUUGAGCUUGGCCGCACAACCAUGACAUUGAGAAUGGGCCAAACACCGGCUGAUGCUGUGGUCAAUGCUGGUCCUGCUGUGUUUAUAUCCACAUCUGGUCCCAAUCCUAUAAUGGUCCAGCCACUUCCUUUUCAACCUGGGACAAGUUUUGGGGCAAUACCUGUGGGAACUGUACAACCUGACUCUGGAUUGCCUGGAGGAUCUCUUGGUUCUGGUUUUGUUCCAAGAAAUAUUGACAUCAGGAUACGCACAGGCUCAUUGAUGCCCUCACCCGCUGUUAACCAAAUGGAACAAGUUGGUGUACAGCAGUCUCCAGUGCAAAACAACCCAUCAACUUCCGUUGAUGGAAUUUCCAUUCAUCAAGCCACUAGAGGACUGUCUGGAAGCCCAUCUUUGACCAGGGAAUCUGAAGUACGGGUGGUUCCUAUCAGGACUGUGGUUACAGCAGUACCUGCUUCUGUCAGGAGCUCCCCUUCUGAUUCAUCUCGUGGUUCAGUGGGAUUAUUCUAUCCAGUUCUUGCAAGAGUUCAACAUGUAGCUUCUGGAAAUUUGAAUAAUCCAAGGGAUUCUCAAGCAUUUGACGAGCGUCGCUCUGAUCAUUUUGAGUCUGGGCAACAGCCUAAUCCUGAUUCUGCAUUACCACAGCAAGACAUUGGACUUCCUGGAGCAGAUGCCAACUCUUAUUCAGGUAAUGGGACACAAAAUGGUGAAGGAUUUUCUACACAGUUUCAGAGUGGGCUAGAUCAGUUGCUGAGGUCUAUAUUUCCUGGAGACCAGAUUUAUGUUGGUGAUGUCAACUUCCAGGGAUCGGGUACAAGUUCUGCAGCAGGUCGUGAGGGUACAAGUCAGGGUGCUGCCCCUACUCAGGAGUCUGCACCAAGAGUGGGUGAUGAAGGACUUUUCUUGUCUAAUUUACUACACCAGAUCAUGCCCAUUAUAUCUGAAAACACAGCAAGUGGGUCAGGCAUGGCAUCACCAGGUGAUGCUAUUGAUAGAGCUACACAAACAUCAUCGACUCAGGCUCAGGAGAACUCAAGUAGACAGACCUUGUCUCGUCAGCGUGGAAACCCACCAUCCUCGCCGAGCUCCAAACGUCAAAGGCUCUGAUGAUAACGCUACUGAUAUCAAAGGGCCAGAUGAGCAGACCCUUCUAUGAGAGUAUAUCCAAGUGAGCAACAGGCCCCAUUAGGAGUCUAUACCGCUGAGUACGAAUAUCACAAGGCUAGAGAUGGAACAGAUAAUAAUAGGGAGUGAUUUAUCUCAAGGUGCACAAUAAUUUCCCCCAACACAAGACAAAUGCAUUUUGAGGAAUGCAUUGAGGCUUCCGAUCAAGUGUUGUUGAGAUCUUUACUGCAGGUUCAGAAUUUUUAAAGUUCUGAAGGCUGCUAUGGUUGUUGACAUGUGAAAUAGAUACUAGAUAAGGAACUCUAGACAGAAUGUAUUGUACUUUUUCUUCUUUAGUACGGUAUUCUUUUGCGUUAGUUUACAUAAAUUUGUGAUCAUCUUAUUAAAUCUAUUUGUUACAGUUUGUGUAUGAUCCGAGCACAUUGGAACCUUUCUGUUAUAUACUUUGCCUGAUGUUCGAGUAA